rnacentral:piRNA from 1 species
UACUGGCUGAUGGUACCAUACUGUGGGUC